rnacentral:SRP_RNA from 1 species
GCCGGGCAUGGUGGCAGGUGCCUGUAAUCCCAGCUACUUUGGAGGCUGAGGCAGGAGACUCGCUUGAACCCAGGAGGCAGAGGUUGCAGUGAGCCAAGAUCAUGCCACUGCACUCCAGCCUGGGCAACAGAGCGAGAUUCUGUCUCAA